rnacentral:rRNA from 1 species
UAGGGAAUAUUGCACAAUGGGGGAAACCCUGAUGCAGCGACGCCGCGUGAGUGAUGAAGGCCUUCGGGUCGUAAAGCUCUGUCGUAUGGGAAUAACAUAAUGAAUGUACCAUGCAAGAAAGGAUCGGCUAACUUCGUGCCAGCAGCCGCGGUAAGACGAGGGAUCCUAGCGUUGUUCGGAAUUAUUGGGCGUAAAGCGGGUGUAGGCGGACUUAUAAGUCAGGUGUGAAAUCCCAGGGCUCAACCCUGGAAGUGCACUUGAUACUGCAAGUCUUGAGUGUGGUAGAGGCUAUUAGAAUUCUUGGUGUAGUGGUGAAAUACGUAGAUAUCAAGAGGAAUACCGGAGGCGAAGGCGGAUAGCUGGGCCAACACUGACGCUGAGACCCGAAAGCGUGGGGAUCAAACAGGAUUAGAUACCCCAGUAGUCCCUGAGCGGGCUGGCAAGGCGCAU